CAGCACCUCAAGUGGUCAGGAUGAUUAUUGGGCCUAAAGCAUCCGUAGCCGGCUCUGUAAGUUUUCGGUUAAAUCUGUACGCUUAACGUACAGGCUGCCGGGAAUACUGCAGAGCUAGGGAGUGGGAGAGGUAGACGGUACUCGGUAGGAAGGGGUAAAAUCCUUCGAUCUAUUGAUGACCACCUGUGGCGAAGGCGGUCUACCAGAACACGUCCGACGGUGAGGGAUGAAAGCUGGGGGAGCAAACCGGAUUAGAUACCCGCGUAGUCC
rnacentral:rRNA from 1 species